GGAAACAAUGGACUUAGAUCAAAACGAUGAGCAGCAUCUAGAAUCACACAGGCGUUGUCAACGUCGAGGUGUUUCUCCAGAAACUCCAGACACUGGGAUUCCAAGGCGGUGAUGUCAUAUUUCCUGGAGGCGUAUAUAGUAGAGCUGUUACUUUGUCGGCAUCAACAGUUGUGCUGUCAGUGUAAAGAUAUCUAUAAGAUAAACUGUUUGAAAUCGUUGGGUUCCAUUUCCGGAACACUGACAUCGGAUUUCUCCGCCAGGUCGCCAGUAAA